UUGAACGCUGGCGGCAUGCCUUACACAUGCAAGUCGAACGGCAGCACGGGAGCAAUCCUGGUGGCGAGUGGCGAACGGGUGAGUAAUACAUCGGAACGUGCCCAAUCGUGGGGGAUAACGCAGCGAAAGCUGUGCUAAUACCGCAUAAGAUCUACGGAUGAAAGCGGGGGAUCGCAAGACCUCGCGCGAGUGGAGCGGCCGAUGGCAGAUUAGGUAGUUGGUGAGGUAAAGGCUCACCAAGCCUGCGAUCUGUAGCUGGUCUGAGAGGACGACCAGCCACACUGGAACUGAGACACGGUCCAGACUCCUACGGGAGGCAGCAGUGGGGAAUUUUGGACAAUGGGCGCAAGCCUGAUCCAGCAAUGCCGCGUGCAGGAUGAAGGCCUUCGGGUUGUAAACUGCUUUUGUACGGAACGAAAAGGUCUCUUCUAAUAAAGGGGGCCCAUGACGGUACCGUAAGAAUAAGCACCGGCUAACUACGU
rnacentral:rRNA from 1 species